UGUGUUGGUGACAUAGUAUAUAUGUGCUGUAGGUUAGCCUUGACGGACGCUCCGUCAAUUGGGACGGACCGACGGACACUCUGUUUUUUCACGUAACGUCCCAUGGGACACUCCUAAAAGUUAGGACUUAGAUGGUUUCCAGUGUUCGGAGCUUGGCGGACUCUCCACUCCAUUUGGUGGAUGCUCCACAGAGAGCUAGGUGCUCUUGGGUUAUCUCAGAAUUAUAGUUUAUAUUAUUGCAGUGGACACUCCGCGACAUUUCAAAGACACUCUGUCACUUGCAGGACUUGGCAUCGUCUGUGAUCAAGUGUACUCCCUCCGUCCCAAAAUAAGUGUCGUUUUCGCUUCCCGAGAAAUAAUUUUAACUAAAUAUAUAAUAAAAAAUAUUAGUAUUUAUAGUACAUAAUUAGUAUCAUUG
rnacentral:lncRNA from 1 species